AAGUCGAACGGAUGAUAUUUGUGCUUGCACAAUAAAGUUAGUGGCAAACGGGUGAGUAAUACAUGGGAAUUUUCCUUGUAGUAUGGAAUAACUAUUGGAAACAAUAGCUAAUACUGUAUAUUGCCGAGAGGUGAAAGAUUUAUCGCUACAAGAUAAGCCCAUGCCAGAUUAGCUAGUUGGUAAGGUAAUGGCUUACCAAGGCAACGAUCUUUAGCUGGUUUGAGAGAAUGAUCAGCCACACUGGAACUUAGACACGGUCCAGACUCC
rnacentral:rRNA from 2 species